GAGGGGGCCCAUGUGUGGUGCACUCAUCGGCACUGAUGGAAAAAUUCCGAACUGGCCGGUUAAGACGUUUCCGGGCACUGUUCACAAAACAAACAACAAAAAGAGAAACAACUGUGCCUGUUAGACUUCGGAAGCAAAGAAACUCGAGUUAAGUCUUGUUAACCUCCAGGGACCAGCGUCCACAACUAGGCAAUGGACAGCCACCACUCCUGCCCUGUCAUCUUAGGAGAUUCCACGGACCCUCUCCUGGAGCCCCACUCCGAAACCAGCCGAGACCUGGCCGUCCGGGCUUGGAUUUGUUUCUAACUCAGGCCCGCAGGUGGCCCCUUGAGGCCACGGAGCCUCGGUCUUCCCGACUCAGGCGGGGCCGAGCUGGGCGGGGGGUGGGGGCGUGGUGGGGGUGAGGGGGACAAGUCACAGCUCCGGUGUUGUGCGCGCGGCAGCGAGCCCGGCAGCGCCCUCCGUUCUUGCCGACAGCGCCACCCAGCGGCCAGCCUGGCGAACCAGUAGCCAUCGCCGGGAGUCGGUGACGCAGGCUCGGGUGCGGGGCGGGUGGAACAGCCCAGCGUCGGCCCGGAUCCGGAUCCGGUCCUGCCGAAACCAUCCCCGGCAGGGCGGGGCUGUCUCCCCACGGAGGCUGGAUGGCGACGCAUAGGCUAGACGGAGCCACCGCCGUGGCUUCUGCUGUUGUGACCGAAGCUUUCCCCCUUUCCCUGUGCCCCCAUGCACCGGGCUGUGCAGGGGGGAAGCCCCCCGCGUGGGCCCGCAGCACGUUCACAGACUGCGUGGUCCCUGCAGUGAUUUGGACACCCAGGUGUCUGGCGGUUGAAUGGCCCAAGAGUGCGGUCGAGAGACUUGGGAUUCGGAUGCAGCUGUGCCACGUCUUCUCGCCAUUAAAAACAGAGCCUCCUUGGGGCGCCUGGGUGACUCAGUCGGUUGAGCGACUGCCUUCGGCUCAGGUCAUGAUCCUGGAGUCCCUGGAUCGAGUCCCGCAUCGGGCUCUCUGCCCGGCAGGGAGUCUGCUUCUCCAUCUGACCCUCCUCCCUCUCAUGCUCUCUCUAUCUCAUUCUCUCUGUCUCAAAAAAAUAAAUAAAAUCUUAAAAAAAAUAAAAAAAAUAAAAAAAAAAUAAAAAAAUAAAAACAGAGCCUCCUUGAUUGGCUUGCGCCCUCCCGGCUCUGCCCUGGAGCCCCCUGAGCCUGGAGGUUAGAGGACAAAAGACUCUGCCUGCAAUUCCAGACCCAGCCUAGUCUUCCAGCCUAACUCUGGCCCAGCAGAUGGGCUCGCCGUGGCCGCACACCAUCCCCAUGAUUUCCCAUCUCCACACCAUUGGUGGUUCCAUUUCCCUGGCCUGGAAGGCAUCGACCCUGAAACCCUGAAACACAUUACUACAAGCUCUGCCUGCUCCCCCCAGGACAUCCGGAGACAGUCUGCUACCGGAGCUCCUAGACCAAAAGCUCAGAUUGGGUUGUGGAUGCCGUCUGUUAAUUAUCUUAAUGUC